GGUUGCCGACAGUCGUUCCAGAGCAACUUUCUGUUGUCCCAAGGAGAGUAAUACUGAACCAUUUACAACACCAAAGAAGCAUAGAACUGGAAGGCAGAGAACAGUAGCCUCAGACCUCCUGGUUAGGGCUCUUUCUGGGAAAGUUGGUAUUUUCCCUCAAAAAUCUCAACAAACAAUGGGAGGAAGAAAAUGGAUACCAGCCUAGAACAGCUUCAUUGAUAAAAUGAACUUGAUCUAUGUCUGAUAAAUCUUGAUAUUCA